rnacentral:lncRNA from 1 species
GUUUCAUCUUGUUACACUCAUCCCUAACAAAUAGGGUUUAGUUAUUCAUGAUAGAGAUAGAAAAGAUAGAUAUUAGAGAAGAAUUACAAGAAAGAUUCAUGAAUGAUUCUUGAUAAAACUGCUCCAAUAGUAUUGGAAACGGCCGUAUUUGAGUUUCUAUGCUAGGGCACAAGUCUCUCAACUUCUCUAUAGUAAAAAAGAUCUCUAGAAAGUGAGAAAAAAAAAUACAUUUUAAUGAAUGUUGAUGUGCGUCGCGCGCCCCAGGCGCAGGAUUUGCACUCUGGGCGCGCAUGUACAAUGUUACUGGUCCAGAAAUGCGCCCCAGGUGCAGCGUUGCGCUUCAGAUGCACAUCUUCUUCUGGUCGACGUUUUCUGCUUUUGUCUCCUCUUUGGAGUCCGAAUUUGACUCUGGUGUCUUCAUGAAAGUUGUAGCUAUGAAUCGUAGCUUUUAUUUUCACUUGGUUUGACAUCGCUUGGUCCCUCCACAUAGGUCAUGUUGAUUUCUCUCCAAAAUUCAGCACUGCACUAAAAUAAAGUAACACCGUAAAACUAAGAAAAAUCUCCACUUAAUCAAGGAAAUAAGAACAUAAACAUUUC